GGCUAGCUCACUUGGUAGAGCAUGAAACUAUUACCGUAAUCUCAGGGCCGUGGGGUUCCAGUCCCAUGUUGGGCA